rnacentral:rRNA from 1 species
GACGAACGCUGGCGGCGUGCCUAAUACAUGCAAGUUGAGCGCUGAAGGUUGGUACUUGUACCAACUGGAUGAGCAGCGAACGGGUGAGUAACGCGUGGGGAAUCUGCCUUUGAGCGGGGGACAACAUUUGGAAACGAAUGCUAAUACCGCAUAAAAACUUUAAACACAAGUUUUAAGUUUGAAAGAUGCAAUUGCAUCACUCAAAGAUGAUCCCGCGUUGUAUUAGCUAGUUGGUGAGGUAAAGGCUCACCAAGGCGAUGAUACAUAGCCGACCUGAGAGGGUGAUCAGCCACAUUGGGACGGAGACACGGCCCAAACUCCUACGGGAGGCAGCAGUAGGGAAUCUUCGGCAAUGGACGAAAGUCUGACCGAGCAACGCCGCGUGAGUGAAGAAGGUUUUCGGAUCGUAAAACUCUGUUGGUAGAGAAGAACGUUGGUGAGAGUGGAAAGCUCAUCAAGUGACGGUAACUACCCAGAAAGGGACGGCUAACUACGUG